GCGCAGGUGGUGUAAGGUGAACAUUGCUGCCCGGGAAGCAGAAGAUGCGGGUUCGAGUCCCGCUUGGCGCA
rnacentral:tRNA from 1 species